CAUGGAAAGAUUGGGAGAAGAUAGAUGAGUAUGAACAGCAGGAAGGCAAGAAAGUUGGAAAGCCCAGGGAGAACAUUGUUGAUAUUCAGGAGAUGUUAAAAAUUGCUGUAUAAAUAUAUAUUUUUUAUGAUUAAAGUCGAAUCCUAAAAUAUCAUACUAAAUCCACUUCAAAAUGCGAUAAAUGUAAUGCGUUCUAGGAAAAGUAGAGUAUUUGAGUGUUUUUGAAAUAAGGUAUUUAAUUUAAUUAAGAUAUGCGGUUGUGCAAUUACAUAUUGUUUCAACAUUGAGCUUUGAUCAUAAGUAGAUAAUAUUUGUUUGAUAAUGACUAAUGACUAUAAAUUGACGUGGUGCGUUAGAAUCGAGUGAGUUUUGCUUUUAGGUUUAUUAAAUUGCUUAUAUUGUAUAGAAAUUACGUAUUUGUAAAUGAAAAAUGAAUCCAUUCAAGUUGUUUAAUUUUGAAAUAUUAAAUCAAUAUGCUAACUCAAAAUUUUAUGUUAUGUAUGCAAUUUGUACAACAUGCAAGAAUUGGUUGACUGGAGAGAUAUUUCUGUAUUGGGAUCGAACAUAUUGCGAAAUAUGUUCUAUACACAAUGACAGUCGACGUGAUAUUGCCUUAGAAAAUGUGCUAAACCAAUGCCUUUUUCCAUGCCAGUAUGAAGAUUGCGACUACAUCUUGAAGAGGAGCCAAGUUGAUGAACAUACAACAAAUUGCAAACAUAGGCAAUUAGAUUGCAAUUUAUGCAAUAUGGAAGGUAUCAGUUUAAAUGAAUAUGAAGACCAUCUCAAAAGCAACCACAAGGAUAAAAUAAUCGACUUGGACAAGCCAAUUUUAGAACAUACGCUGGACGCAGCAACUAAAAAUGAAAUUUUAAUUGCUUGCCUGAACCAACAUACUUUUCUAAUUCACAUUAAACGAGACAAAUCUAAAUUAAGUGUGAAUAUUGCACGUAUUGAAACAUAUGAUGACUCAAAUAUAAAUAAUAACUUUACAGUUGGUUACAAACACGAUCAACUAAAACACAAGCAGUUCACAGUGCUGUCCGCUAUUAGGUAUAAUUCAAAUCCUAACGUUGAUAUUGACGUGCCGCAGAAUGGAAAUCUUUUGUUAAACAUUUCUUUAUGUGGGUUUGAAAAUGUGAUCCACUUGCCAGAGUGUCCAAUUUGCAAUUAUGAGUUAAAGUUAAAGUCUAUCAAUGUCCUAAUGGACAUAACGUGUGCAAUGGAUGUGGGAAGAAAUUGAACACGUGUGCUAUAUGUCGGGACACCUUGAGUGUUGUAAACCUGCGUUACUUAUUUCCAAGUACAUUAUUAAUGUUAUGUUCAAACUAUGAGAAUGGCUGUUUGAAAAUUGGCAACGUAGGUGAUUUAGAUGAACACAUCAAGAAUUGCCUUUAUGCCCCAAUAAAAUGUGUUAAAUGCCAGCAGGAAUGUUCGAGACGUAAUAUUUUAACACAUUUUAAAGAAAAGCACACAGUCUUCAGAAACUAUGUUGUUUUAAUCGUACCGUUAAAAGAAGUAUCUGUUCCAAAUUGUCAUAAAUAUUAUUCUUUUAAAAAUCAAUUAUUUACAGUUAAUUUUAAAACUACUGGAAGUGGUAAUAAGCAGAAAAUAUGUUUCACGGUGCAAUUAUUAUACAAUGAAAAUAUUGAAGUAGCUGCAAGGUACAGAUAUGAAAUUCAUAUAAUUCAUAGAUAUCAUAAUGAAUCUAAUCAUGUACUAAAGGGAGUAUGUCAAGUCAAAAGUGAUAAAGAUACAUCAUCAUGGAUUUAUUGCAAACUAUGUCCUAUACAAUUUAACGAAAAUAAUGAUCCAUGUUUUUGGAUUAUGUUUGGAAUUGUAGAUAAAAAUGAUAACAUGUAAAAUGAAUUGUAAUAACACUAUAUCUAUAUAUGA